GGGGGUAUAGCUCAGUGGUAGGGCACAUGCGUAGCAUGCUUGAGGUCCUGGGUUCAAUCCCCAGUACAUUCA
rfam:Camelus ferus unplaced genomic scaffold scaffold1610, whole genome shotgun sequence.